rnacentral:rRNA from 1 species
AUUGGCGCAUUAGCUAGUUGGUAAGGUAGUGGCUUACCAAGGCGACGAUGCGUAGCCGACCUGAGAGGGUGAUCGGCCACACUGGGACUAAGACACGGCCCAGACUCCUACGGGAGGCAGCAGUAGGGAAUCUUCCGCAAUGGACGAAAGUCUGACGGAGCAACGCCGCGUGAGUGACGAAGGCCUUCGGGUCGUAAAGCUCUGUUGUUAGGGAAGAACAAGUACCGUUCGAAUAGGGCGGUACCUUGACGGUACCUAACCAGAAAGCCACGGCUAACUACGUGCCAGCAGCCGCGGUAAUACGUAGGUGGCAAGCGUUGUCCGGAAUUAUUGGGCGUAAAGCGCGCGCAGGCGGUCUUUUAAGUCUGAUGUGAAAGCCCACGGCUCAACCGUGGAGGGUCAUUGGAAACUGGAGGACUUGAGUGCAGAAGAGGAGAGUGGAAUUCCACGUGUAGCGGUGAAAUGCGUAGAUAUGUGGAGGAACACCAGUGGCGAAGGCGGCUCUCUGGUCUGUAACUGACGCUGAGGCGCGAAAGCGUGGGGAGCAAACAGGAUUAGAUACCCUGGUAGUCCACGCCGUAAACGAUGAGUGCUAGGUGUUGGGGGGUUCCACCCUCAGUGCUGAAGUUAACACAUUAAGCACUCCGCCUGGGGAGUACGACCGCAAGGUUGAAACUCAAAGGAAUUGACGGGGGCCCGCACAAGCAGUGGAGCAUGUGGUUUAAUUCGAAGCAACGCGAAGAACCUUACCAGGUCUUGACAUCCUCUGACAAUCCUGGAGACAGGACAUUCCCCUUCGGGGGACAGAGUGACAGGUGGUGCAUGGUUGUCGUCAGCUCGUGUCGUGAGAUGUUGGGUUAAGUCCCGCAACGAGCGCAACCCUUGAUCUUAGUUGCCAGCAUUUAGUUGGGCACUCUAAGGUGACUGCCGGUGACAAACCGGAGGAAGGUGGGGAUGACGUCAAAUCAUCAUGCCCCUUAUGACCUGGGCUACGCACGUGCUACAAUGGACGGUACAAAGGGCAGCAACACCGCGAGGUGAAGCGAAUCCCAUAAAGCCGUUCUCAGUUCGGAUUGCAGGCUGCAACUCGCCUGCAUGAAGCCGGAAUUGCUAGUAAUCGCGGAUCAGCAUGCCGCGGUGAAUACGUUCCCGGGCCUUGUACACACCGCCCGUCACACCACGAGAGUUUGUAACACCCGAAGUCGGUGGGGUAACCUUUAUGGAGCCAGCCGCCGAAGGUGGGACAAAUGAUUGGGGUGAAGUCGUAACAAGGUAACCAAU